UACGUAGGGUGCGAGCGUUGUCCGGAAUUACUGGGCGUAAAGAGCUUGUAGGCGGUUUGUCGCGUCGAUUGUGAAAUCUUACGGCUCAACCGUGAGCGUGCAGUCGAUACGGGCAGACUAGAGUACUGCAGGGGAGACUGGAAUUCCUGGUGUAGCGGUGAAAUGCGCAGAUAUCAGGAGGAACACCGGUGGCGAAGGCGGGUCUCUGGGCAGUAACUGACGCUGAGAAGCGAAAGCGUGGGUAGCGAACAGG
rnacentral:rRNA from 1 species